UUGAACGCUGGCGGAAUGCUUUACACAUGCAAGUCGAACGGCAGCACGGGGGCAACCUUGGUGGCGAGUGGCGAACGGGUGAGUAAUGUAUCGGAACGUACCCAGUCGUGGGGGAUAACUAUCCGAAAGGAUAGCUAAUACCGCAUACGUCCUGAGGGAGAAAGCGGGGGAUCGCAAGACCUCGCGCGAUUGGAGCGGCCGAUAUCGGAUUAGCUAGUUGGUGAGGUAAAGGCUCACCAAGGCGACGAUCCGUAGCGGGUCUGAGAGGACGACCCGCCACACUGGAACUGAGACACGGUCCAGACUCCUACGGGAGGCAGCAGUGGGGAAUUUUGGACAAUGGGGGAAACCCUGAUCCAGCAACGCCGCGUGAAUGAAGAAGGCCUUAGGGUUGUAAAGUUCUUUUGUCAGGGAAGAAAGUUUCUGUGCUAAUACCAUAGAACGAUGACGGUACCUGAAGAAUAAGCACCGGCUAACUACGU
rnacentral:rRNA from 1 species